rnacentral:lncRNA from 1 species
GAGUUCCAUGGGCUGUACAGGACAAGGUGUCACACUCUGCGCAGCACAGGGUGUCACACACAGCCCAGGGUGUCACACACAGCCCAGGACAGUGUCACACACAGCCCAGCACAGGCAGAGCCCGGGCAGCUCC